UGUAUGUGUCUGUAUGUGUCUGUAUCUGUGUCUCUGUGUGAGUGAGUGUGUGUAUGAAUGAGUAGGCGUGCGUGAGAGAGUGUGUGAGUGAGUGAGAGCUGCUGGCCGAGGGCCGGUUUCCGUGCUGGGUCCGUCUCUGACUCGUGUGUUCCCCUGGUGUGGAAAAGAAAAUGAUCGAAAGGGUUAAAUAAAUGGUUGGGAGGAUGUAGGGGUGGGAGGUGUGAGGGAGGAGGUGGUUGUGGGGCUUGGAUGUUGCGGUAACGAGAUGGUGUUAACCCAAUCUGGGCUAAUUGAACCUCCCUUCACCUUCCAGCCAAUAUCACGAAGGACCGGUUCCAUUAUGAUUACCGCUCACUCAGGAAAUGGGGUCUCGUCGUGGCAGCUGUGUUCUUUCUCAUGGGGAUCUUGAUCCUGCUUGUGGGAGGUGUGUCGUUCCCGAGGUGCCGUAGCUGCCGUAGCUGCCGGAACAGGAAACGACAGUAAGUUCCCCAUCCAGCAAG